rnacentral:rRNA from 1 species
CCUACGGGAGGCUGCAGUGAGGAAUAUUGGUCAAUGGACGCAAGUCUGAACCAGCCAUGCCGCGUGCAGGAAGACGGCUCUAUGUGUUGUAAACUGCUUUUGUACGAGGGUAAACGCAGAUACGCGUAUCUGUCUGACAGUAUCGCACGAAUAAGGAUCGGCUAACUCCGUGCCAGCAGCCGCGGUAAUACGGAGGAUUCAAGCGUUAUCCGGAUUUAUUGGGUUUAAAGGGUGCGUAGGCGGUCGGAUAAGUUUGAGGUGAAAUCCCGGGGCUCAACUUCGGGAGUGCCUCUGAUACUGUCCGGCUAGAGAGGAGGAGCGGUAGGCGGAAUGUGUGGUGUAGCGGUGAAAUGCUUAGAUAUCAUGCAGAACACCGAUUGCGAAGGCAGCUUACCGAGCUACUACUGACGUUGAGGCACGAAAGCGUGGGGAGCAAACAGGAUUAGAUACCCUUGUAGUC